UACGUAGGGGGCAAGCGUUGUUCGGAAUUACUGGGCGUAAAGGGCGCGUAGGCGGCACGGCAAGUCAGGAGUGAAAGCCCGGGGCUCAACCCCGGAAUGUCUUUUGAAACUGCCGAGCUAGAGUGCGGAAGAGGCAACUGGAAUUCCCAGUGUAGCGGUGAAAUGCGUAGAUAUUCGCAAGAACACCAGUGGCGAAGGCGGCUCACUGGCCCAUAACUGACGCUGAGGCACGAAAGCGUGGGGAGCAAACAGG
rnacentral:rRNA from 1 species